UCUUUUGGGCGGGGGUCAAGAGCAAUAACGGAGAAUGUCUGUGAUGAACCAUUUUUCAUUAUUGCUCCUGACCUCCUCUCAUUUGCUCCCCGCG
rnacentral:pre_miRNA from 12 species